rnacentral:rRNA from 1 species
CUGCUGCCUUCCGUAGGAGUCUGGGCCGUGUCUCAGUCCCAAUGUGGCCGGCCACCCUCUCAGGUCGGCUACUGAUCGUCGCCUUGGUGGGCCUCUAUCCCGCCAACUAGCUAAUCAGACGCGGAUCCAUCCCAUACCACCGGAGUUUUUCACACUGGAAUAUGCAUUCCUGUGCGCUUAUGCGGUAUUAGCAGCCGUUUCCGGCUGUUAUCCCCCGGUAUGGGGCAGGUUAUCCACGCGUUACUCACCCG